AGGACAAUUAAACCCUGGGCCUGUUUCCUGGCACAGAUUACGGGGCUGCCUUCCUGGAACAUCGUCCUCCCGUUACGGGUUCUGUUCAGAAUGCGUUAGGACAGACAGCAUGACCUUAACGUUCCCCUCAGCCAAGCGAAAAGAGAAGGAAAAGGAGCCAGCAGGGUGAAACUCUCAUGUCUGCAUCAAAGCCUGAAACCCAUGCGCAGUCCUCCUCUACUCCUCUCCAUCCUUAAAAUGCACAUGGGGUGUGACAAUGAAGAUUCGCGUUACAGGCUGGGAAGUCCAAGGCUGAGGGACCCACAUCCUGAGAGGAACUUCUUGUUGCAUCACCCCAUGGCAGAAGGCAGAAGGACAAGAGAGCGAACAAGAGAGAGUGAAGGAGGCUGAACUUAUCCUUUGAUCAGGAACCCACUCCUGCAAUAGCAUCAUUAAUCUAUUUGUGAAGGCAGAACUCUCAUGACCUCAUCACCUCUUACAAAUCCUGCCUCUUAACACUGUAGCAUUGGAGAUAAACUUUCUAACACGUGAACUCUGGGGGACACUUUAAAAUCAGCAACAUCUCUCUUUUUAUCACAGCCUAUACCUGGCCUGUCAGUAUAUUCUAUAGGUCUAAGUUCUAAAUAUAAUUAGAAUUAAAUUACUUUUCACCAGCGUUACUCGUGCCCCUCAGCCCAGGCUACGUCUUAUUCAUACUUCUCAACUGUUUUCCUAGGUUAUUCUCAGCAGUCUAUUGUUGAAAUGGUCAAAAAAAUCCCCUUAAAAGUGUGAAUCAGAUUAUGUAAAUCUACUCACCAGCCUCCAGUGAUUUCUCAUUGCAUUUCCUUUCUGAGUAAAAGCCAGAUUCUUACUAUGGUCUGUCUGAUCUGGACCACUUUAAGCUGCAUCCCACACUCUAAUGCUCUCUCCACUGUCAGACUUCUCCAGACACGCCGCUCUGCGAGCCAGUCAGGUGCUGCCCAGGGACUCUUCAGGGCUUUUUAAAUUAUUGUUCCCUCUACCUGAAAUGUUCUCCGAAAGCCACAUAACCAGCUCCACUAUUCAAAGGCCACAUUCUCAGUUAGGACUUUACUGGCUGUUGCAUCUAAACUUUUACCCCAUGCAACAUUUUAUAUCCCACUUCCUGCCUUAUUCACUUAGCUAUUUUUAUUAUCUAAUAUACUGUAUGGACUAAAUUGUGUACUCCGCCAAAUUCAUAUAUUGAAGCUCUAAUCCCCAACGUGAAUAUCUGAAGAUGUGACUUUAAAGAUAUAAUUAAGGUUAUAAAGGUGGGGACCUAGUCUGUGACUGCUGUCCUUAAAAGCAGAGGGAGAGACACCAGGAGCGCACACACAGAGAAAAGACCACCUGAGGGUACAGGGAGAAGGUGACCAUCGGCAAGACGAGGAGAGAGGCUUCAGGAGAAACCAAACCUGCUGACGCCGUGAUCGUGAACUUCUAGCCUCCAGAACUGUUAGAAAAUAAAUUUCUGUUGUUUAAACCAGCCAGUCUGUGCAGUCUGCGAUAUUUUGUUAAUGGCAGUCUAUGCUAACACAUACACUAAUUAUUUUAUUUUGCAUACUGCCUGUCUUUCUCAUUAGAACGUAAGCUUCAUUUGGAGAGUAAUUUUUAUCUUUUAUAUUCACCCCUGGAAUUCUUGAGACCUAUAAGGUGCCUGAACCAUAGUAGGGAUCAAUUAAUAUUUACUGAAUGAAUAAAUGGAUGAGAAAUCA